AAGGGCACCACAAGAACGCGUGGAGCAUGUGGCUUAAUUUGACUCAACGCGGGAAAUCUUACCGGGUCCGGACACACUGAGGAUUGACAGGCGCUUGCAUAGCGCGGCCCACGGCUUGCCGUGGUCCGUCGCCAAUGCUUUCAAAUAUGCUAGUCCUUUCAUGAUUGUGUGAUAGGUGGUGCAUGGCCGUUCUUAGUUCGUGGAGUGAUCUGUCUGCUUAAUUGCGUUUCACAAGGGACUUGCAUGGCAUACGUUGGGCCGAGGUGCCCUCCACCUGUUGCCCCUUCAAGGGGCCGGGGGAGUGUUCGCGCCCGGCUUUCAAUCGCCAACAGUCCCGAAGGCAACGAACGUGACCGCAGCCUCUUGUUACCUCUCUGCUUUCCACUUCGGGGCGGCCUUUGCUCUCGGGCGGGGUGUCUUGCCUCGUUGAGAGAGGUAAACUAGAGGGACCGCCGACGUUUUCAAACCGGAGGAAGGUUGCGGCAAUAACAGGUCUGUGAUGCCCUUAGAUGUUCCGGGCUGCACACGUGCUACAAUGAUUAUUGCAGUGAGCAUCUUCACAAGUUCGUGGGAUGUCUGCGCUCGGCCCAAAAUGUUGUGCUGGCCAAGGCCCGUCGGAAGGAUGUCUGCCUGCGGGGUCUCUCGGCCUCAGUGGGCGGAGCGUCCUUUUGAUGGCUGAGGUCGCCGACUUUGGGUUGCAGCGCGCAUCCGUUAUCACCACGCCUGGUUCGAAAGUAAUCAGGUAAUCAAUUCGAAGUAAUGAUUUCCAUCCGCACUUCUGAGCGUUGCGCGGUGGAGACCUCGCGUCAUCCGCCGCGUAGCGUGUGCUCCAUGACUUCGUGGUGGGGACAGACCCUUGUUAAUUGUUGGUCUCGGUCUCAACUAGGAAUGCCUUGUACGGGUCUUUGGUUCAACAAACCACCCGGAAUAUGUCCCUGCCCUUUGUACACACCGCCCGUCGCUCUUACCGAUGGACUUCUCUGUGAGUUUGAGGGACUAGGGCAUCAUGCAGCUCUGCUGCGCGGUGACCGAUGGAAACUUAAACGAACAGUGUGGUCUAAAGGAAAGAGAAGUCGUAACAAGGCAUCGGUAGGUGAACCU
rnacentral:rRNA from 1 species